UGGGUGUAGCUCAGUGGUAGAGCACUAGCCUAUGCUGCAUAAGCCCCUAGGUUCGAAUCCCUAGCACUACAA
rnacentral:tRNA from 1 species